CAGCUCUCAGUCAUGAAGUAUUAAACUCACAGGGCGGUAAACACUCAGAGCAGGGGGAGAUGCAUUAUUCAAAUGAAUGUUUUAAGUCUAUUUCCGUUUCCAGGAAGGCCCACAUCUUUAGAAUGUAUUUUAUCCUGCAUGUGCUCAUUUUUAUAACAUCAAACAGCAACUCUUUAAUCAUAUCACUAAUGUAUGACGUUUGUUAGGCACACCAACAUUAUAUCGUUAUUCUGAUGUUGAUCAGAUAUAAUGAACUGUCUGUUCACUCAUGCUUGGUCUCUGAUGUAAGUUCCUCUAAUCAGUUAGUGAACACUUCUCUAAACUAAAGCUGGUAGGAUUCCUCUGGUAGUGUUGUCUGUCCUCUGUGACUUUACCACCACUGUUAAAUGUGAGAUCAGCAUGUUUAAUAAAGGAAUAUACAACAUGGAUCACUAUCACUACUGCUGCUGCUGUUGUCUUUCAUAUGGACAAUAUGGAGGAAUACUAGCAACACUGAUCUAAUGCUGGACUGUACCUCCAGACUAGGAGAACCUGAUACACAGAGGAAGGAAAAAUACUACUAUCUGGAUUUAAGAUACAAUUCAUAUUUGUAUUAUCUAGAAACAGCUAAUAUGAAGUGUUUGUUCUACCUGGAAGAUGUUAAAGUGUAUUAGUGUUGAUUAUGAUUCUGUAUGAGUGAUCUUCACUGUAACAGCUGCAGCAUCACAAGUAACAGUGCCCCCACCCUCACCGUCCUGCCCCCCUCUAGUGAGGAGCUGUCCAGUACAACAACAGCCACACUGAUGUGUCUGGCAAACAAGGGCUUCCCCUCAGACUGGACCAUUAGAUGGAAAGUGGACGGGACCAGCCAGAAGCAGGAGGCCAGUCCCAGGGUUCUGGAGAAGGAUGGUCUGUACAGCUGGAGCAGCACCCUGACUCUCACUGUCCAGGAGUGGACCAAGGCAGGAGAGGUGACCUGUGAAGCCCAACAGAUAUCCCAGACUCCGGUCACCAAGACCCUGAGGAAGUCUGACUGUUCUGGGUAGGACCCCUCAGUCACACACCCCUGUGGAGCAAGGCUGCUGGUUCCUCUGCUUUGACUCUGUUCUGAGAUCAGAUGUUCUCUGUCUUAUUGUUCACUGACAUGUAGACUAACAGAGGGCUUUGCUUGAGUCAUUGUGUCAAUCCUCUCUGUAGACUGAGAUUGUAUCAGUGUUAGAUUUGAUGUGUUCUGUUUUAUUACUUUUAGAUACUGUAGGAAUGAUUGCUUUGAUGCUUUGAUUAAUAGACGAAAAUAAAGACUUCUCGUUGGAACAAA